CAGACACAGCAUCAUGAAGAUCUGUUAUAUGUGUUAUUGUCUUUUCAUACUGUUCUUGAAUUGCAGUGAUGCCGUUCCGAUGAACGACGAACAGCUUUCGUUUCUGCGACGAUCAACAGUUGAAGAUAGCGACAUUGACAAAAUUACAAUUCCUGUAAAGAGAUGGGGACGCUCGUACGGCUAUCUAUACAAACUCCUUAGGAAGAGUGGCUUCCAAGUAAAAAACAAUUUUUUUUUUUAAGUGAAUUGUUGCAGGCUGUGAUCCUUCAUUUUCCUGAUUUAGAUUAGACCACAAUGAUGAUAUAGAUAAUGUCUAAUUCUUUUUCUUUUUGUUCGUUUCUCCACCUUUUCAAAACCAUACCGUAUCUGUUUACUAGAUAGAGGAUGGUUAAUUUUGAUUUCGUUUCAAUAAUGAAAAAUCUGAAGACCUUCUUUUAGGACAAGCACUAUAGAUUUCAAAAAGCCUGAAUGAAAAAGGCCACCUGUCAUGGUAAAGUUAUAUCUUAUUUUUUUUAAGCUUCUGGGUCUCACCUUAAAUAGUUUACUACAUGAGAGUUAAUUAUGGGUUUGAAUAUUGUCAUCUACAAUAUUGAAGAAAUAUAUAUGUAGGACUCGGAGGUGCGAUGGGGGCGCUGAAGUGCGAUAGUCACGCUAAAGUUCGAUGGUCUACACCGAAGUGAGAUGUUCUACUCGCUGAUGUGCGAUGGUCUGUCUAUAUGACGCAUACGCAUAAUGACUAAUUUAAAACCUACGUAUAUAUAUGUGUAAUUAUUAUGAGAAGUGGAUGUUGUUAUUAGUUAGUAUAUAUAUUUGCAUUGAUUAUUGUCCAUGAAACAUUAUUAGCAUUUCGGUCUAAAUUAUAUGAAUGUGUUUAGUUGAAAUAAAAGAAUCGUCAAAAGAA